rnacentral:rRNA from 1 species
AUUGAACGCUGGCGGCAGGCCUAACACAUGCAAGUCGAACGGUAACAGGAAACAGCUUGCUGUUUCGCUGACGAGUGGCGGACGGGUGAGUAAUGUCUGGGAAACUGCCUGAUGGAGGGGGAUAACUACUGGAAACGGUAGCUAAUACCGCAUAACGUCGCAAGACCAAAGAGGGGGACCUUCGGGCCUCUUGCCAUCGGAUGUGCCCAGAUGUGGAUUAGCUAGUAGGUGGGGUAACGGCUCACCUAGGCGACGAUCCCUAGCUGGUCUGAGAGGAUGACCAGCCACACUGGAACUGAGACACGGUCCAGACUCCGACGGGAGGCAGCAGUGGGGAAUAUUGCACAAUGGGCGCAAGCCUGAUGCAGCCAUGCCGCGUGUAUGAAGAAGGCCUUCGGGUUGCAAAGUACUUUCAGCGGGGAGGAAGGGAGUAAAGUUAAUACCUUUGCUCAUUGACGUUACCCGCAGAAGAAGCACCGGCUAACUCCGUGCCAGCCGCCGCCGUAA